rnacentral:tRNA from 2 species
GGUCUUAUAGUGUAGUGGUAUCACUUCAGAUUCUGAUUCUGGCAACCUGGGUUCGAACCCCAGUAGGACCU